rnacentral:misc_RNA from 1 species
GAUGAAGAACGCAGCGAAAUGCGAUAAGUAAUGUGAAUUGCAGAAUUCAGUGAAUCAUCGAAUCUUUGAACGCACAUUGCGCCCAUUAGUAUUCUAGUGGGCAUGCCUGUUCGAGCGUCAUUAAGUCCACUUAAGCCCUGCUUAGUGUUGGGAGACUGCUCCAGCGGUGCUACCCUGUAGCUACCCUGCAGCUCCUCAAAGACAGCGGCGGAGUUGUGGUAUCCUCUGAGCUUAGUAACUUGUUCUAGCUUACGAGUACACCACUUCCCCUGCCGUAAAACCCUUAAUUUUUAAUGGUUGACCUCGGAUCAGGUAGGAAUACCCGCUGAACUUAAGCAUAUCAAUAAGCGGAGGA